GAUGAAGAACGUAGCGAAACGCGAUAAGUAAUGUGAAUUGCAGAAUCCAGUGAAUCAUCGAAUCUUUGAACGCGCAUUGCGCCCGCCAGCAUUCUGGCGGGCAUGCCUGUUCGAGCGUCAUUUCAACCCUCGACCUCCCCUUGGGGAGGUCGGCGUUGGGGACCGGCAGCACACCGCCGGCCCUGAAAUGGAGUGGCGGCCCGUCCGCGGCGACCUCUGCGCAGUAAUACAGCUCGCUCCGGGACCCCGACGCGGCCACGCCGUAAAACACCCAACUUCUGAACGUUGACCUCGAAUCAGGUAGGACUACCCGCUGAACUUAAGCAUAUCAAUAAGCGGAGGA
rnacentral:misc_RNA from 1 species